GAUGAACGCUGGCGGCGUGCUUAACACAUGCAAGUCGAACGAAGCACCUUAUUCUGAUUUCUUCGGAAUGAAAAAUUUGGUGACUGAGUGGCGGACGGGUGAGUAACGCGUGGGUAACCUGCCUCAAACAGAGGGAUAACAGUUAGAAAUGACUGCUAAUACCGCAUAAGACCACAGCACCGCAUGGUGCAGGGGUAAAAACUCCGGUGGUAUGAGAUGGACCCGCGGCUGAUUAGGUAGUUGGUGGGGUAACGGCCUACCAAGCCGACGAUCAGUAGCCGACCUGAGAGGGUGACCGGCCACAUUGGGACUGAGACACGGCCCAAACUCCUACGGGAGGCAGCAGUGGGGAAUAUUGCACAAUGGGGGAAACCCUGAUGCAGCGACGCCGCGUGAGCGAUGAAGUAUUUCGGUAUGUAAAGCUCUAUCAGCAGGGAAGAAAAUGACGGUACCUGACUAAGAAGCACCGGCUAAAUACGUGCCAGCCGCCGCCGUAAGAC
rnacentral:rRNA from 1 species